UCUGAGGGGGAGAGUGGCGAACUGGUGAGUAACACGUAGGUGACCUGCCUCGAAGACGGGGAUAACCAUCGGAAACGGUGGCUAAUACCCGAUACAUUCGGCAAUUCAGUUUGUCGAGUAAAGCUCCGGCGCUUCGAGAUGGGCCUGCGGCCUAUCAGCUAGUUGGUAGGGUAAUGGCCUACCAAGGCGAAGACGGGUAGGGGGCGUGAGAGCGUGGUCCCCCACACUGGCACUGAGAUACGGGCCAGACUCCUGCGGGAGGCAGCAGUCGGGGAUAUUGCACAAUCAGCGAAAGCUGGAUGCAGCGACGCCGCGUGGGCGAUGAAGGCCUUCGGGUUGUAAAGCCCUUUUAUGGGGGAAGAGAAAAAGGACGGUACCCCAAGAAUAAGUCCCGGCUAACUACGUGCCAGCAGCCGCGGUAAAACGUAGGGGACAAGCGUUAUCCGGAUUUACUGGGCGUAAAGAGCGUUGAGGCGGUUCCGUAAGUUGGGCGUUAAAGCCCCGGGCUCAACUCGGGGAGGUCGUUCAAUACUGCGGAACUUGAGGGCAGCAGAGGGAGGCGGAAUUCCCGGUGUAGCGGUGACCUGCGUAGAUAUCGGGAGGAACACCAGUGGCGAAGGCGGACUCCUGGGCUGCUCCUGACGCUGA
rnacentral:rRNA from 1 species